rnacentral:rRNA from 1 species
AAUGAACGCUGGCGGCAGGCUUAACACAUGCAAGUCGAGCGCGAACGCACCUUCGGGUGUUAGUAGAGCGGCAAACGGGUGAGUAACACGUGGGAACGUACCUUAAGGUUUGGGAUAGCCCUGGGAAACUGGGAAUAAUACCGAAUGUGCUCUACGGAGGAAAGAUUUAUCGCCUUAAGAUCGGCCCGCGCUAGAUUAGCUAGUUGGUGAGGUAAUGGCUCACCAAGGCUACGAUCUAUAGCUGGUUUGAGAGGAUGAUCAGCCACACUGGGACUGAGAUACGGCCCAG